rnacentral:rRNA from 1 species
GAUGAACGCUGGCGGCGUGCCUAAUACAUGCAAGUCGAGCGAACGGACGAGAAGCUUGCUUUUCUGAUGUUAGCGGCGGACGGGUGAGUAACACGUGGAUAACCUACCUAUAAGACUGGGAUAACUUCGGGAAACCGGAGCUAAUACCGGAUAAUAUUUUGAACCGCAUGGUUCAAAAGUGAAAGACGGUCUUGCUGUCACUUAUAGAUGGAUCCGCGCUGCAUUAGCUAGUUGGUAAGGUAACGGCUUACCAAGGCAACGAUGCAUAGCCGACCUGAGAGGGUGAUCGGCCACACUGGAACUGAGACACGGUCCAGACUCCUACGGGAGGCAGCAGUAGGGAAUCUUCCGCAAUGGGCGAAAGCCUGACGGAGCAACGCCGCGUGAGUGAUGAAGGUCUUCGGAUCGUAAAACUCUGUUAUUAGGGAAGAACAUAUGUGUAAGUAACUGUGCACAUCUUGACGGUACCUAAUCAGAAAGCCACGGCUAACUACGUU